UACGGAGGGUGCAAGCGUUAUCCGGAUUUACUGGGUUUAAAGGGUGUGUAGGCGGACUAUUUAAGUCCGUGGUGAAAUCUCCGGGCUCAACCCGGAAACUGCCAUGGAUACUAUUAGUCUUGAAUGUUGUGGAGGUGGGCGGAACGGGUCAUGUAGCGGUGAAAUGCUUAGAGAUGACCCGGAACACCGAUUGCGAAGGCAGCCCACUACGCAACUAUUGACGCUGAGGCACGAAAGCGUGGGGAGCAAACAGG
rnacentral:rRNA from 1 species